rnacentral:rRNA from 1 species
GACGAACGCUGGCGGCGUGCUUAACACAUGCAAGUCGAACGGAAAGGCCCUGCUUUUGUGGGGUGCUCGAGUGGCGAACGGGUGAGUAACACGUGAGUAACCUGCCCUUGACUUUGGGAUAACUUCAGGAAACUGGGGCUAAUACCGGAUAGGAGCUCCUGCUGCAUGGUGGGGGUUGGAAAGUUUCGGCGGUUGGGGAUGGACUCGCGGCUUAUCAGCUUGUUGGUGGGGUAGUGGCUUACCAAGGCUUUGACGGGUAGCCGGCCUGAGAGGGUGACCGGCCACAUUGGGACUGAGAUACGGACCAGACUGCUACGGGAGGCAGCAGUGGGGAAUAUUGCACAGUGGGCGGAAGCCUGAUGCAGCAACGCCGCGUGCGGGAUGACGGCCUUCGGGUUGUAAACCGCUUUCGCCUGUGACGAAGCGUGAGUGACGGUAAUGGGUAAGGAAGCACCGGCUAACUACGUG